rnacentral:rRNA from 1 species
UUUCCGUAGGUGACCUGCGGAAGGAUCAUUAAUAAUGCUCUCUGGCUUCGGUCAGCUGAGUUCAAUGAGUGCCUUCUCUUCGGAGUUGGCCAUCCACACACACCGUGAACUGUGGCUUCGGCCAUCACAAACUGUUAGUAAUGAAUGUAAUAUCAUAACAAAAACAAAACUUUUAACAACGGAUCUCUUGGCUCUCGCAUCGAUGAAGAACGCAGCGAAAUGCGAUAAGUAAUGUGAAUUGCAGAAUUCAGUGAAUCAUCGAAUCUUUGAACGCACCUUGCGCCCUUUGGUAUUCCGAAGGGCAUGCCUGUUUGAGUGUCAUGAAACCUCACCCCACUUGGGUUUUUGCCUGAGCGGUGGUGUAUUGGGUGUUGCCUUGCCAAAGGCUCGCCUUAAAAACAUAAGCACCUUGGAUGUAAUACGUUUCAUCCUUCUGGGUGGCUGAUAACCCCACAUAUUCAUGAUCUGGCCUCAAAUCAGGUAGGGCUACCCGCUGAACUUAA